rnacentral:rRNA from 1 species
AGAGUUUGAUCCUGGCUCAGGAUGAACGCUAGCUACAGGCUUAACACAUGCAAGUCGAGGGGCAGCAUGUAAGCGGCUUGCCGCUUAUGAUGGCGACCGGCGCACGGGUGAGUAACGCGUACCGAACCUGCCCUGUGCUUGGGGAUAGUCUUGCGAAAGCAAGUUUAAUACCCGAUGAGGCCGUGGAGGUGCAUGCUUUCACGGUGAAAGAUUUAUCGGCACGGGAUGGCGGUGCGUCCCAUUAGGUAGUUGGCGGGGUAACGGCCCACCAAGCCGACGAUGGGUAGGGGUUCUGAGAGGAAGGUCCCCCACAUUGGAACUGAGACACGGUCCAAACUCCUACGGGAGGCAGCAGUGAGGAAUAUUGGUCAAUGGGCGGAAGCCUGAACCAGCCAAGUAGCGUGCAGGAAGACGGCCCUUAGGGUUGUAAACUGCUUUGGUGCGGGAGUAAAGUCGGGUACGGGUUACCCGUUUGCACGUACCGCAAGAACAAGGACCGGCUAAUUCCGUGCCAGCAGCCGCGGUAAUACGGAAGGUCCGGGCGUUAUCCGGAAUUAUUGGGUUUAAAGGGAGCGCAGGCGGAUGUUCAGGUCGGCCGUGAAAUGUCCUGGCUUAACCAGGUCACUGCGGUCGAAACCAGAUGUCUUGAGUGCACGCAGGGGUGUUGGAAUUCAUGGUGUAGCGGUGAAAUGCUUAGAUAUCAUGAAGAACUCCGAUCGCGAAGGCAUAUGCCCGGAGUGCAACUGACGCUGAGGCUCGAAAGCGCGGGUAUCGAACAGGAUUAGAUACCCUGGUAGUCCGCGCUGUAAACGAUGGAUACUCGCGGUGUGUGAGUUAUUAUACGCCGCCAAGCGAAAGCGUUAAGUAUCCCACCUGGGGAGUACGCCGGCAACGGUGAAACUCAAAGGAAUUGACGGGGGCCCGCACAAGCGGAGGAACAUGUGGUUUAA